CAAUUUUUCUUUAUGAAUUCACUCAAUGAAUUAAUGCCAUGAAAAUAUCUGCUAUUGGUGGCAUUUUGUGGAGAUUAAACUAAUUUAACUGACAGGAAAAACUGUUGCUUGUAUUUAUAUCCAUAAGAGUUUAAACUAACUAGAGUCCAAUUGCUUAAUUAUUUAAUAAAAAAAAAUAAGAUCAGUGACAUAGCUGGACAUGAAAGUGAGUAAUUUCAUUGCAAUCUCCCAAUAAAUUCAUCUGUCUUCGAUAUUUCUAAUGUGUGGAGUGUCUGACGUGAUGAUAGCACUAAAAGGAAAAGGUCAGGAGGGUCAUCAAACUAAUGGUAGUAAUAAUAUAUAAACAAUAAUAAUCCUGGUCUAACUUGACCCUUGAAAGUUAUUACAGUGGCACGAAACAGCCGUUCACGUGGAGUGUGCACUUGCAUGUAUUUGAUUGGCUGACGCAGGGCCUUGUCAGAUGACGUCGCGUUGCAGCAAACGUUGAGACAAGUUAACCAGGUGACCCUCUGUCUCGGCAGGCCUACUGCGUCAGGAGAAGGCUGCGUUGUUGGACACAGUCCAAAAUACAGCCGACCCAAACAGAAAGUCAACACUGGCAGAAGCAGGAUGUUCAGAGCAGACGCAUGUCACAGAGAGUCCUGUGUUAGACACAGGAUGCACAGACCUGAGACCUGCAGCAAUACAACAGGACCCUGUGUAGAUAUAAUGUAGCUCAAGUUAGAACAGCUGUUCCCUCACAUUGGAAGAAGUCAGUUGAGGUGGUUUGGGCAACUUGAGGGCAUGUCCCCAUGGUGGGGUAUAAAGCCACUGCAGGUGGGGUAUAAAGCCACUGCAGGUGGGGUAUAAAGCCACUGCAGGUGGGGUAUAAAGCCACUGCAGGUGGGGUAUAGAGCCACUAGGGGAAAAAUAUGUAGUGGAACAAACAUUAAUGAAUAUGAUUUAUGUUGGGGAAAUGAAUCUGAUGAAAUCUGAUGCUUUUUCUUUUGCUGACAUUUAUUUGACUAACAUUCAACUUGGAUCCUUUUUUAUUAGUUUUGGUUCCCCUAUCAUUCUGAACAAUUGCUUAAACAUGUGGGAUGGGGUGGUGUGAACAUUUUCCAGCUUCUGAACAGGGGGCGUGGCAGAAAACUUCUGAGAACUAGCUGCUUCUGGGCAAGUUCAACUCUGGAACUGACCCAGAUAAUAAGCUCACUGUGACUUGGGUAAGUGGGAAGGGAAAAGUUUGACCUGACAGUGGCGCAGGAGUUCAUCAAAGUCUCCCUCAGGGCACAAUAAAUAUCAGCAGAAAGUUUCACAGCAAUCCAUUAAAUAAUAGUUGAGAUAUUUCAGUCUGGAGUCUGGUGGUGGACUGACAGACCGUCAUUGUGGUCUGUGGAGGCACGCCACCAGCAUGGCUGAAAAUAUAAAGUGUGAAAUAAAGGAACUAUUAUGAAAAGCAUGAGCAGUCUAUAAGGCAGUUACGUCUCUGGGAGAGAGAAAAAAAAGACAACUAUGCACCUAUAGUUGUGUGUAUGUUAUGCAGAUGUGGUGUGGCAUGCAGGACUUACAUAAUAUGCAGAGAGUGAGAUGGAAAUGAACAGAAUGUACUGAUAGCACGUCGGACUCAGUCAAAACUUCAUUUAUUGUUGCAGCAGAUGACUCUUAAGAAGUUUCAGAAGCUGACUUGACACUGACUCAGGUUGUGUUUUAUCUGAUAUUUCCACCAAAAUGUUAUAAAAACCUCUGACAAUUUGUUGUUGUAGUUUAAUGAUUCUCCAGUUUUGUGUAUUAGGAAAUACUACAUUAUAAUUGUAUUUAUUUUUGUAAUAUUGUAAUGGUAGUGUAAGACUUUGACUCAAGGGCAAAUGUGUCUGCAUGUGUGUAUUUAUGUGUGAACAGGACGGUUUGUGUAUGUAUGAAAAACACAUUUAACAUUGUAUGUUUUUCUCUUUUUUCUUUGUAAAGUCAUUCGUAAUCACUGAUUUCUAUAAGUGUGUGUCUUUAAAUAAAGUGAACAAGUUAUGUAAUGAUUACUGACAAUAAUUUGCAUAUUAGCCUAUUAUUAAAGGAUGAAUACAUUUUUUAGGUUGAACUGGUUUUUGUUUGUGUGAAUCGCUUCGGAAUGAAGCUACAUAUCUGAAGAGCUUUCAUAACUGACUGCUGAGUCACUAUUGUCACUGCCAGAAUCCGUGGCUUUUAGCAGCGGAGCUCCUCGCUGUCAGCUGUGAUUGAAGGUUGACAGUGAGUAUGUUACUAUUAAAAGACCAUCAAAGCGACAUAAACAAUCAUAAUCGGAUAAGCCGUAAAGAGGCUGACUGACUGGCGGUGAUGUAACACUUCGCUGGAACGGCAUUAUGGAGACAGCUGGGAUUAUCAGACACAACCCCCCGGUGCCUUGCUCAGCAGAACUCAACAGAGCUGACGGGCAGAAUGGACACAGCUAAUGGUAGAGAUGAAGCGACCUACGAGGACGACUGAGGAAGCUAAGAAGAGAAAAAGAGAGAGAAGCCACCAGACAACAGCAAAUCUGAGACUUUUAGUCUUUGGUCCCUUCAUUGUUUCCAAGAGCUGUGUGUGACUGCUGCUGCUCCAACUGCCAAACUACAACACUGUAACUGCCUUGCCAUUGUGACAUCCGCCGGCAUGCACCUGUUUCUCUCACAGUGGUCCCGCUGUGUCUGUCUGCUGUUUGGUGCUGAACAGGAACCACUGGGGCUCUCUACAAGAGAUACGAAGAGACAGCCUCCCCCACUCAGAGUCUCACAACCCACUCGGUUUCCUCUUACAUCGCGCUGAUCCCCUCCAUCCAUUCAUCCAUCCGCCAACAGACCUUCAUUCCUCGACCUUCAUUCCUCAACCUUCAUUCCUCGACCUUCAUCCCUUCAUCCCUCAACCCUCAGUAUACCACUUAUAUACAAGAGUUACUGUGCUGUGUGCGAUGUGUUGGUGGUUUUCCUCCAUGUAAUC